GUAAAAUUGAUAAAUAUUUAAUCACAUACUAUUAUAAAAUUUAUUCUGAUAAAUGAAUAUUAUAAAUCAUUGAAGAGGAAUUAAAAAGAAAUUGACAACAUUCUCAGGGAAUAAGGGAAAGGGAAGUCGAGCUCUGAUAGUAAUGCCAAAAUUUUACUGGCUAAGAACUGAAAUUAAUAAUUGAUAGUCGACUGAAUUACAAUCCAGUCACUACAAAAAUUUGUAAAAAGGGUAAAAAAUUCAAACAGAAAUGAGAAGAGAAAGGCUUAAAGCACAUUGCAGGCCACAAAGUGUGCAAAACUACACUGCAGGUUUAACGGUAGCAUCGGUAGACUGGGCUGUACAUGCAGCUCUCUGCAUGCUGGACAAGAUCCUUAGGACGUGGGAGACGAGAUGACAAACCAAGUUCAUAUGCUUUGGCAGCAACUUUAGCAGCAAUGUGGGCUGAAAUUUUCCGGAUGUUGGAAAAUGGAGGGUAAAUCAGUCCCUUGUCAAAGUUUUCCUGUUUUACUUGUGCGGCCAAAGCUUCGGAGGCUGCCAAAAGCAAGUCAUCAUGCACACGAAUUGCACCAGACAUGAUCAACCCCAAGCCAAAUCCAGGGAAUAUGUAAGCAUUGUUUGCCUGGCCAGGCACAAAAACUUUCCCAUUGUAUUCAACAGGGUCAAACGGACUUCCACUAGCAAAGAUAGCACGACCCUUACUCCAUGUAUAAGCUUCUUCAGCUGUACACUCAGAUUGUGAAGUAGGAUUGGAGAGGGCGAGAAUUAGCGGUUUCUCGUUGAAGGAUGCCAUGGCCUCAACCACCUCCUUUGUGAAUGUUUUUCCAACUCCAGAUGAUCCGAUCAAUACUGUUGGCUUGAUUGUCUUAACAGCAUCCAAAAGUCCCUUGACAGGUUCAUGUUCAUGUGCCCAAGGCUUCUUGAAGUGCUGAAGUGACUCUUUACGAGAGCUAACAAUCAGUCCCUUUGAGUCCACAAGCCAAAUCUUCUUGCGGGUCUCUUCAAUUGGACCUUUAAUCUGUUUUGAUAUCUCAAGAGCUAUAAGCUCAGCUAUACCAGUUCCAGCCUCUCCAGCACCCAGGAAUAAGAAUUUAUGAUCAGCCAAGGUUCCACCAACUAAAUUCAGAGCUGCAAGAAGUCCCGCUAGCACCACAGAUGCUGUACCCUGUAUAUCAUCAUUGAAAACGAGAUGAGUUGGGCUGUAUUUCGUCAGUAGCUCAAACGCAUUGUGAUUUGCAAAAUCUUCAAACUGUACGAGGACUUUCUCCCCAUAGUUCUGCUUGACUGCAGUCAUGAACUCGUCUAGAAGUUCAGCAUAUUCCUUUCCAGUUGCCCUCUUUUGUUUCAGACCAAUGUAGAACUCGUCAUUCAACAACUGCUCAUUGUUUGUGCCAACAUCAAUGGUAACAGGCAAGCAAGCUGAGGGACGUAAUCCUCCUAGUGCAGUGUACAAAGAGAGUUUUCCUACAGGAAUCCCCAUUCCCUGGCAACCAAGAUCCCCAAGUCCUAAAAUACGCUCACCAUCAGUAACGACAAUAACCUGUAUAUUUCUUUCUGGCCAGUUCUUCAAUACUUCAAGAAUCUUGCCCUUUUCUUUCAAGCUGAUGUAGAGACCUUGAGGUCGCUUGAAAAUGCUCCCAUAUUUCUGGCAAGCCUCACCAACUGUGGGAGUGUACACGAUUGGCAGCAGUUCUUCAACAUUAUCAAUCAGAAGCUUAUAAAAUAGCUUUUCGUUCCUCUCCUGCAGAUCCAUCAUGGCCAUGUAUCGUUGCAGAGGAACUUUGUACUGGCGCAGAUUGUGCAUCACCCUUUUCUCCUGGAGCUCCUGAGUCAAGAUUGCUGGGGGAAGAAGGCCACGUAAGUAAUGAGCAUCCCUCUCCUUCUCGGUGAAAGCAAGCCCCUUGUUGUGGUGUGGGUCCCGCAACAAAGUAUACCCACUGGCAACAGAGACAGUCCACGGAGUGAUAAGCUGAUCUUCCGUGGCACUAUCCUCACCAUACAAGUCCUCAACACCUCCACCCACAGUAACAUUCUUCUUCUCCUCCUCCUCCACUGAGUGACCACCAUUUACCAUUGUACUCGCCAUUAAAGCACAAAACUUUCUCUCUACUUCCCUACCCAGCACCACUCUCUGCAAACAAAAGAAAGCCGAAAAGAUACAACACACAGGAUACACGAACCUUGUAUUGGGGAAAAAGAAAACAGAGUCCACCUUUUAUAGGCAACCGAAACCCAAAAAGUUCCAGUGAUUAUAUUAAUAAUUUCUGAAAAUGGAAGAUGAGGCUUAGAGGGUUUGUUUCAACUUUCAACUUUCAAUGUCAAAAGGGCGAACGUAGACUACCCACGUGGACAAUUUGAUUAAAAAUAAAUAAAAAAGAAUUUGCAUUGCUUUAAAAGAAAUUUAAGGACAAAUGUGAGCGUGAGUGUAUUACAAAGUUGGAAUGCUCAUGUUAAAUUUAAUGGUACCAGAAAAGUAAUUCUCUUCAGUGUAAUCAUACUGCAGGACCGUGUGAAAGGGUGGAGAGAGAGAGGAUAAUUCUUCGCCCUUUUCUUUUCUUAGAGUGAGAAAAUCUUUGUUACGCGUUUCGGCAGAGAGAGAGAGAGAGAAGAAUUUAUUACAUUGCUG
rnacentral:misc_RNA from 1 species